GGCACGGUAAACUCCACCCGGAGCAAGGCCAAAUAGGGGUUCAUAAGGUACGGCCCGUACUGAACCCGGGUAGGCUGCUUGAGCCAGUGAGCGAUUGCUGGCCUAGAUGAAUGACUGUCCACGACAGAACCCGGCUUAUCGGUCAGUUUCACCU
rnacentral:RNase_P_RNA from 2 species